rnacentral:tRNA from 1 species
GACUCGUUGGUCAAGAGGUUAAGACACCGCCCUUUCACGGCGGAAACACGGGUUCGAGUCCCGUACGGGUCACCA